AGUGGUGUCUAAACCAAAGAAGAAAAUGAAAGUGGUGUUUAAACCAAGAUAGUAGUUUAAACCAAAGAAGAAAAUAAAAGUGGUGUUUAAACCAAGAGAGUAAUUUAAACCAAAUAAGAAAAUGAAUGUGUGGUGUUUACACCAAAGAAGGAUUAGAAGUGUGGUGUUUAAACCAGAGAAGUGGGAUGCAGAGAUGAGUAUUGUUGAUGUUGAUUAUUGAAUGUAUGCAGGGAAGAAGAUUU
rnacentral:lncRNA from 1 species